CAGUAGCCGCGGUAAUACGAAGGGGGCUAGCGUUGCUCGGAAUGACUGGGCGUAAAGGGCGCGUGGGCGGCGGCCAAAGUCAGGCGUGAAAUUCCCGGGCUCAACCUGGGGGCUGCGUUUGAUACUUGGUUGCUUGAGUGGGGAAGAGGGUCGUGGAAUUCCCAGUGUAGAGGUGAAAUUCGUAGAUAUUCGGAAGAACACCAGUGGCGAAGGCGGCUCACUGGCUCAUUCUAGACGCUGAGGUGCGAGAGCGUGGGGAGCAAACAGGAUUAGAUACCCCUGUAGUCCCUGUCUCUUAUAA
rnacentral:rRNA from 1 species